ACGGAGGGUGCAAGCGUUAAUCGGAAUCACUGGGCGUAAAGCGCACGUAGGCGGUGCGGUCAGUCAGACGUGAAAGCCCACGGCUUAACCGUGGAACUGCGUGUGAUACUGCCGGACUUGAGUGUGGGAGAGGGUGGAGGAAUUCCGGGUGUAGGUGUGAAAUGCGAAGAUAUUCGGAGGAACACCAGUGGCGAAGGCGACCCCCUGGACGUCAACUGACGCUGAGUUGCGAAAGCGUGGGGAGCAAACAG
rnacentral:rRNA from 1 species